rnacentral:lncRNA from 8 species
GGACAGGCUCUGGAAUCCAGGCCGUCUGUCUCCAAGGUCUCCCAACUGCCUGAAUCUUAACUUAAGGUCAUUCCUCUGCUGCUGGACCAAUUACACACGCACAUACACAGCCCUGCGGAUUCUCAGCCAGACGCCUUGCAGGGUGAAUUGUUCCAGCACAUCCUCCUGUGGGUUUACAUUGGAAAUAUGGCCUGCCAAGGGCUGAAAUUAUUCCAUUUUACCACCGAUACUUACAAAAAGAAGGCAAGGAGACAAGAGAGUGAAUCCAUUCCGCCUCCCAGUUGGACUCAACCACCUUCCAGGAACUUUUCCUCCCAGUUCCAAGAUUAACCAACAGGCCUGAUUUCCUGAAACUGGA